AGUCACUGACAUUAGAUACCCGCGUAGUCCCAGCCCUAAACGAUGCGCGUUAGGUGUAUCGGUGACCACGAGUCACCGAGGUGCCGAAGGGAAACCGUGAAACGUGCCGCCUGGGAAGUACGGUCGCAAGGCUGAAACUUAAAGGAAUUGGCGGGGGAGCACUACAACGGGUGGAGCCUGCGGUUUAAUUGGACUCAACGACCGGAAACUCACCGGGGGCGACAGCAAUAUGUAGGUCAAGCUGAAGACUUUGCCGGAUUAGCUG
rnacentral:rRNA from 1 species